UACGGGGGGAGCAAGCGUUGUUCGGAUUUACUGGGCGUAAAGGGCGCGUAGGCGGCCACCGCAAGUCGACUGUGAAAUCUCCGGGCUUAACUCGGAACGGUCAAGUGAUACUGUCGGACUAGAGUACAGAAGGGGCAACUGGAAUUCUCGGUGUAGCGGUGAAAUGCGUAGAUAUCGAGAGGAACACCUGCGGCGAAGGCGGGUUGCUGGGCUGACACUGACGCUGACAGCGCGAAAGCUAGGGGAGCGAACGGG
rnacentral:rRNA from 1 species